CUCAGUGGGCUUGUGGCUGCUUCAACCAAUACAGUAUGCAGAAGUGAUGCUAAGAGGCUGCAUGCAGGCCUUAGAAAGCCGUAUAGCAUCUACCUGUUCUCUGGAAUACUUUCUCUUGGGGCCAGCAUGGAAAAAGUCUUACCACCCUGUGUCCACCAUGACUGGCUCCAAGUUGUUUCAAGUGAGGAGAAUGGCAGCUGGAACAAGGUUGACUUGUGUUUGGUCAUGGUGGAACAGGUGGCAGAAACAUUGCUGUGGUACUUAGAUAAUAGAAAAUGUCCCUGCUAGAGUUUGGGUAUGACUGAGUAAGUUCCACCCCUGCCUGGAGUUCAGGGGCUGGAAGCUUGGUUCCCAGGGUAAUGGUAUUGAAGGUGGUGGGACUUUAAGAGGUGGGGCCAGUGGAAGGUAAUUAGAUCCUGGGGGCUCCACCCUCAUGAAUUGAUUAAUGCUGAGUCCUGGGAGUGGGUCAGGUUUCAGGGACUAGCCUAGACAGCUCAGUGUCUCCUACUGCCUCUCUUACCAUGCGGUCUCUCUUUCAUGUGUGACUGCUGCCCUGUGAUGCCAUCUGCCACAUUAUGAUGCAGCCAGAAGGCCCUUGCCAGAUGCUGACCAGAGCAGCCUGGACCUUGGACUUUCAGCUUCCACAUUGUGAGCUUCCACUUUUUUCUCUCUCCUCUCCUCUUUUCUUCCUUUCUUCCUUUUUUUUUUUUUGGUACUGGGGAUCAAACUUGGGUCCUUGCGCUUGCGCAGCAGGUGGUGAAACCACUGAGCUAAAUCCCCGGCCCCUUUAUUUUCUUUUUUGACAGAGUCUUGCUAUGUAGCCCAGGCUGACCAUUGACUUAUGAUCCUCCUGCCUCAGCCUCCUAAGUGCUGGAAUUACAGGCAUGCAUGCCAGAUUAACCUUCGAAGAACUCAGGGGGAGGAGCAAAAAAGAGAAUGCCCAGAAAAUUACCUCAGCUGCAGCUUCUUCACAUGGAAACGCAGGACCUGGCACAUGGAGCAGACCCCCUAUACCACUCCUUCCCUAGCAACUCUGGACCCAGAACCCAGAAAGCUGCCUCCUGCCCAGUCAUAACCCCACUUUAGCCCAUUUUUACUGGAAAUCUGUCCAUGUCAUCUUAUUGGUUUUUUUAAGUGAUCUUCUAUC
rnacentral:lncRNA from 1 species